GAUGAACGCUGGCGGCGUGCCUAAUACAUGCAAGUCGAGCGAAUGGAUCAAGAGCUUGCUCUUAUGAAGUUAGCGGCGGACGGGUGAGUAACACGUGGGUAACCUGCCCAUAAGACUGGGAUAACUCCGGGAAACCGGGGCUAAUACCGGAUAACAUUUUGAACCGCAUGGUUCGAAAUUGAAAGGCGGCUUCGGCUGUCACUUAUGGAUGGACCCGCGUCGCAUUAGCUAGUUGGUGAGGUAACGGCUCACCAAGGCAACGAUGCGUAGCCGACCUGGGAGGGUGAUAGGCCACACUGGGACUGCGACACGGCCCAGACUCCUACGGGAGGCAGCAGUAGGGAAUCUUCCGCAAUGGACGAAAGUCUGACGGAGCAACGCCGCGUGAGUGAUGAAGGCUUUCGGGUCGUAAAACUCUGUUGUUAGGGAAGAACAAGUGCUAGUUGAAUAAGCUGGCACCUUGACGGUACCUAACCAGAAAGCCACGGCUAACUACGUGCCAGCAGCCGCAGUAA
rnacentral:rRNA from 1 species